UAGGGAAUCUUCGGCAAUGGACGAAAGUCUGACCGAGCAACGCCGCGUGAGUGAAGAAGGUUUUCGGAUCGUAAAACUCUGUUGUUAGAGAAGAACAAGGACGUUAGUAACUGAACGUCCCCUGACGGUAUCUAACCAGAAAGCCACGGCUAACUACGUGCCAGCAGCCGCGGUAAUACGUAGGUGGCAAGCGUUGUCCGGAUUUAUUGGGCGUAAAGCGCACGCAGGCGGUUUGUUAAGUCAGAUGUGAAAUCCUCGGGCUCAACCUGGGAACUGCAUCUGAUACUGGCAAGCUUGAGUCUCGUAGAGGGGGGUAGAAUUCCAGGUGUAGCGGUGAAAUGCGUAGAGAUCUGGAGGAAUACCGGUGGCGAAGGCGGCCCCCUGGACGAAGACUGACGCUCAGGUGCGAAAGCGUGGGGAGCAAACAGG
rnacentral:rRNA from 1 species